rnacentral:rRNA from 1 species
AUUGAACGCUGGCGGAAUGCUUUACACAUGCAAGUCGAACGGCAGCACGGACUUCGGUCUGGUGGCGAGUGGCGAACGGGUGAGUAACAUAUCGGAACGUAUCCAAUAAUGGGGGAUAACGAGUCGAAAGAUUCGCUAAUACCGCAUACGCCCUACGGGGGAAAGCGGGGGACCUUCGGGCCUGGCGUUAAUGGAGCGGCCGAUAUCUGAUUAGCUAGUUGGUGAGGUAAAGGCUCACCAAGGCGACGAUCAGUAGCUGGUCUGAGAGGACGACCAGCCACACUGGAACUGAGACACGGUCCAGACUCCUACGGGAGGCAGCAGUGGGGAAUUUUGGACAAUGGGCGCAAGCCUGAUCCAGCCAUUCCGCGUGAGUGAAGAAGGCCUUCGGGUUGUAAAGCUCUUUCGCAAGGGAAGAAAACUUAGCCACUAACAUUGGUUGAGGUUGACGGUACCUUGAUAAGAAGCACCGGCUAACUACGUGCCAGCAGCCGCGGUAA